rnacentral:rRNA from 1 species
CACAGGUGCUGCAUGGCUGUCGUCAGCUCGUGUCGUGAGAUGUUCGGUUAAGUCCCGCUAACGAGCGCAACCCUCACUGUGUGUUAUAUGUGUCACACGGGACCGCCGGUCUUAAGCCGGAGGAAGGUGGGGAUGACGUCAAGUCAGCAUGGCCUUUAUAUCCUGGGCUACACACACGCUACAAUGGCCAACACAAUAGGUCGCUAAGCCGCGAGGUGGAGCCAAUCCAUAAAGUUGGUCUCAGUUCAGAUUGCAGGCUGCAACCCGCCUGCAUGAAGAUGGAGUUGCUAGUAACCGCAGGUCAGCUAUACUGCGGUGAAUACGUUCCCGGGGCUU